rnacentral:rRNA from 1 species
GCGGCAACAGCUCAAAUUUGAAAUCUGGCCUCUCCAGGGCCCGAGUUGUAAUUUGUAGAGGAUGCUUCGGGCGCGGCGCCGGUCUAAGUCCAUUGGAACAUGGCGUCAGAGAGGGUGAGAAUCCCGUUCGCGACCGGCCGCCAACCCCAACCGUAGCUCCUUCGACGAGUCGAGUUGUUUGGGAAUGCAGCUCUAAAUGGGUGGUAUAUUUCAUCUAAAGCUAAAUACCGGCCAGAGACCGAUAGCGCACAAGUAGAGUGAUCGAAAGAUGAAAAGCACUUUGGAAAGAGAGUCAAAAAGUACGUGAAAUUGUUGAAAGGGAAGCGCUCGCGACCAGACCUGUCCGCGGCGAUCAACCUCCGUUCUUCGGGGGUGCACUCGUCCGCGAUCAGGCCAGCAUCGGUUCGGGGGGGCGGACAAAGGCCGAGGGAAUGUAGCUCCCUCCCGGGGGAGUCUUAUAGCCCGCGGUGCAAUGCGGCCAGCCUGGACCGAGGACCGCGCUCCGGCUAGGAUGCUGGCGUAAUGGUCGUGAGCGGCCCGUCUUGAAACACGGACCAAGGAGUCUAACAUCUAUGCGAGUG